CGGGACGUAGCUCAGUUGGCUAGAGCGCACGGUUCGGGACCGUGAGGCCGGAGGUUCAAGUCCUCUCGUCCCGACCA
rnacentral:tRNA from 3 species